GGUAGAGCAUGGUGUUUGCAACGCCAGGGUUGUGGGUUUGAUUCCCACGGGGGACCAGUAUGGAAAGAAAUGUAUGAAAUGUAUGCAUUCACUUCUCUAAGUCGCUCUGGAUAAGAGCGUCUGCUAAAAGACUAAAAUGUAAAAAUGUACAGUAUGUCCCAUGUCUUGUACAGUGUGUCCCAGGUCUUGUACAGUGUGUCCCAGGUCUUGUACUGUGUGUCCCAGGUCUUGUACUGCGUGUCCCAGGUCUUGUACUGUGUGUCCCAGGUCUUGUACUGUGUGUCCCCUGUCUUGUACAGUGUGUCCCAUGUCUUGUACUGUGUGUCCCCUGUCUUGUACAGUGUGUCCCAUGUCUUGUACAGUGUGUCCCAGGUCUUGUACUGCGUGUCCCAUGUCUUGUACUGUGUGUCCCAGGUCUUGUACUGCGUGUCCCAUGUCUUGUACUGUGUGUCCCAGGUCUUGUACUGCGUGUCCCAUGUCUUGUACAGUGUGUCCCCGGUCUUGUACAGUGUGUCCCAUGUCUUGUACUGUGUGUCCCAUGUCUUCUACUGUGUGUCCCCGGUCUUGUACAGUGUGUCCCCGGUCUUGUACAGUGUGUCCCAGGUAUUGCACAGUGUGUCCCCGGUCUUGUACAGUGUGUCCCAUGUCUUGUACAGCGUGUCCCAUGUCUUGUACAGCGUGUCCCAUGUCUUGUACUGCGUGUCCCAUGUCUUGUUCUGUGUGUCCCAUGUCUUGUACAGUGUGUCCCAUGUCUUGUACUGCGUGUCCCAUGUCUUGUUCUGUGUGUCCCAUGUCUUGUACUGUGUGUCCCAUGUCUUGUUCUGUGUGUCCCAGGUCUUGUACUGUGUGUCCCAGGUCUUGUACUGCGUGUCCCAGG
rnacentral:lncRNA from 1 species